ensembl:lncRNA
ACUAAACCAGGACUGAACCAGGUCUAAACCAGGUCUAAACCAGGACUGAACCAGGACUAAACCAGGUCUAAACCAGGUCUAAACCAGGACUAAACCAGGUCUAAACCAGGUCUAAACCAGGACUAAACCAAGUCUAAACCAGGACUAAACCAGGUCUAAACCAGGACUAAACCAGGACUAAACCAGGUCUAAACCAGGUCUAAACCAGGUCUAAACCAGGUCUAAACCAGGACUAAACCAGGACUAAACCAGGACUAAACCAGGUCUAAACCAGGUCUAAACCAGGACUAAACCUGGACUAAACCAGGACUGAACCAGGACUGAACCAGGACUAAACCAGGAC